GGGCAGUAAGCUCGUAGUUGGAUUUGUGGCUGUCACGGGCGGCCUAUCACUUAGUGUUAGUGCUUGCCUGUGUCGCCAUCCUUGGGUGGAGCCCGUGUGGCAUUAGGUUGUCGUGCGGGGGAUGCCCAUCGUUUACUGUGAGAAAAUUAGAGUGUUCAAAGCAGGCUUAUGCCGUUGAAUAUGUUAGCAUGGAAUAAUAAGAUAGGACCUCGGUACUAUUUUGUUGGUUUGCGCACCGAGGUAAUGAUUAAUAGGGACAGUUGGGGGUAUUCGUAUUCCAUUGUCAGAGGUGAAAUUCUUGGAUUUCUGGAAGACGAACUACUGCGAAAGCAUUUACCAAGGAUGUUUUCAUUAAUCAAGAACGAAAGUUAGGGGAUCGAAGAUGAUUAGAUACAUUUCGGUAGUCACAUUUGGCAAGGAUGUUUUCAUUGAUCAAGAACGAAAGUUAGGGGAUCGAAGACGAUUAGAUACCAUCGUAGUCA
rnacentral:rRNA from 1 species